GUUCAUCUCAGCCUAUGCUACCCUCCAGUCCCUAGACUUCCUGGCGCUGACGGAAACAUGGAUCACCACAGAUAACACUGCUACUCCUACUGCUCUCUCCUCGUCUGACUACGUGUUCUCGCAUACCCCUAGAGCAUCGAGCCAGCGGGGUGGUGGCACUGGAAUCCUCAUCUCUCCCAAGUUCCCUUGGAGAGUUCAUCAAUGAGCUUGACGCCUUGAGAAGUUCCUUUCCUGAGGAUGGCUCACCUCUCACAGUUCUGGACCAUUUCCGGAGACCUUCUCCCCUACCUCACCUCGCUCAUCAACGCAUCCUUGACCGCUGGCUACGUCCCUUCCGUCUUCAAGAGAGCGAGAGUUGCACCCCUUCUGAAAAAAACCUACACUCGAUCCCUCCGAUGUCAACAACUACAGACCAGUAUCC
rnacentral:lncRNA from 1 species